GCCAUGGGCAGCUUUUCCGGGGUGGCAGGCGGCACAGUUGGAGAAGGCCACCGUGCGCAGGGCCACCAGAGCAUUACUUUCUCCCGUGGAGGUCACCUGCUAAGUGUGGCCGCCCGGGCUCUGGCAAGGCUCUGGGAGCUGGUGUUGGGUAAGAGCGAGUCCCCGCAGUGCCUGCCCAGACAGGGCGGAGAGGAGCCGCCGGGGGGAGCGGCCUGGCCUUGGGGCUGCUGCGGGGCGGGUGGCCGGAGGGCGGAGGGCGGGCCACCACGAGCCUGGCCGAGCCGCUGCUUGUGCUUGGUGCCAGCACACGCCUGGCGGCGCCGUUUCGCUUCCCUUUUUGUGAGCCUGCGGCUGCUUCUCUGCGCUUGCCUGGAUGCUGCCGCCUGUUGAAGCUGCGUUUUUCUCUCCUGUUUGCAGGUGUCUUUAACCACGCGGUGCCUUCCGCCUCUGCUCAUCC
rnacentral:lncRNA from 1 species